GCCGGCGUAGCUCAGUUGGUAGAGCAGCGGUUUCGUAAACCGCAGGUCGCUGGUUCGAUUCCAGUCGCCGGCUCCA
rnacentral:tRNA from 1 species